UGGCACCACCAGCCCCGACCUAAAAGUCGAUAAAAUCCGGGCAGACGGGGGGGCUUUGCAGGCUUUGCUUCUGCCCUCAGCCCCUCACCCUCACCUCUCUUUGCUCGCUGCACGCAGAGCAAAACCUCGCAUCUAAUCGGGAUUUGAUGGUGGCUGGUCCGCAUCAACAGCCCGAGUAGCGGUUAGUGUCUGACAACCCCUACCUUUCCCACCACGAUGCUUGUUUUCGGUUGCCUAGAUCUCAAAAAUUUGCUUUUUUUUUUUUUUCCGGGGGGUGUGUAUAGCUCCUGGAUUGUUAACGAUAUGCUACCCUUCGCCUCAAUUUGAAUUGAGGAGAGCUUUAGAUGCUAAUUGCUGGAUUACUAUGCCAUACACGAAUUCUUUUCAGUGAUCAUGGCAGCAUGUUCCUGGUGGUGAGUGCUGUAACAUCCUUGGAGGUGACUUGCACCUUCAUGAGAUUCUUGGGUGUAACCUUUUUUGUGAUAAUAUUUCAUGAUAACUGGCUUUACAUUCAUUUCAUGUCUGUAUAUCUACAGACAAUUGUAAAUAAAACACAUUCUUCCAACAGUAUCUUUGAGUUUCAACGUCCUUGGCAAAAAAACUUACACUUAAUUUGGACAUACCUAAAUAACAGAAUUUGUACUUUAAUAUGGGUCUCAUGAAACAGGAGGUUCUUUUCUGAAUCAUAAUGUUCUAUUGAUUGCUAAGAGCACCAUUUUCCUUGUCCAUACAAGAAAGGUGUCCCGGAAGUGUGGUUCUGAAUGACUACAACCAAUCAUGCAGCCCCAUUUUCAUAUGCAAUGCUAAAAUGUAUAAAUUAUUUUUCUGUUUACUGAUAUGUGGUCUUUCUUCUUCUCUCUUUUAACAUUCUGAAAGUCCUCCAUCUCUAUUACCUUAGCUUAUUCUCUUUCCCAUCUUUGUCAUCUCAUGCAUUUUUCCUCUUUUCAUUCCCUGAGUAAAAGUUUUUCAUCUGACUGUCCAUUGCUAUUGGUAGUCCUUGGCUGUUUUUCUAUGACAUCAUUAAGGAGAACCAAAAUACCUCUCUUCUUGGUUUGCCAUACUCAUUAUGGCUUCCGUCUCUGCUCUUCUGCUGCAAAAAUCAGUAGGAGUUGGGAUCCUACUGUUUCCCUACGCCUUGAACACCCAACACUUAUUCUUCUUGAGAAAUGCAGAAAUAGUGAUCACUUCAAACAAAUAUUGGCACAAAUGAUGAGGCUCCACCUUGUUACCCAGACUUUUCCCAUGAGUAGGCUCCUAUACUUCUCUGCAGUUUCUCACCCUUGGCAUCUGAAUGAGGCUGUUCUCCUCUUUAAGCACUUCACUCCCCAUCCGAAUCUCUACAUUUACAACAUUAUGAUAUCAGCUCUAUCUUUCUCAUCGAGCCAAUCUCUCAACCUCUAUAAAUCUAUGCUUUCAUCAUGUAUUUUUCCUGACGAGCACUCCCUUCUCUCCCUCCUUAAGUCAUCCAGAAAUAUUUCAGAGCGAAAGCAGACUCAUGGUCAUGUCAUCAUAAAUGGCUUCAGUUCACAUGUGUAUCUACAAAACUCUCUUAUGAAGAUGUAUUUGGAGACUGGAGAAGUGGCUCUUGCUCAACAGGUGUUUCACUGUAUGCUCAACCGAGAUAUUGUUUCAUUGAAUAUCAUGAUAGCUGGGUAUGCCAGAAACGGAUAUAGCAUGGAAGCACUCAAAUUGCUCCAUGACAUGACUGUUUCAGGUAUUGAACCUGAUCAGUAUACCAUUGUGGGUCUUCUUUUGUCCUGUGGCCAGCUGAGAGAUGCACAUUUGGGGAAGUCUGUACAUGGGUUGAUCGUACGGAGGAUGCCUUUUGGUGGCUGGGGCUUAAUCUUGAACAAUGCUCUUUUAGAUAUGUAUGCAAAAUGUGGGGAGAUGAAGACUGCUAUGAAGGUGUUUGAUGGAAUUGAUGAGAGGGAUGACACUUCAUGGAACAUAAUUAUUGGAGGAUUUGCCAAUGCUGGUGAAUUAAAUAUUGCCUACAGGCUUUUUUGUGAAACACCUUUCAGGAACCUGAUUUCAUGGAAUUCUAUUCUUGCUGGGUAUGCUCGUAUGGGGGAUUUCAGAACAGCGAUGAAACUAUGUAGGGAAAUGUUUGCAUGUAAAAUUAGACCUGAUAAGAUGACUGCCAUUGCUUUGAUUUCUGCUGCUGCAGAGAUGGGAGUUCUGCAUAAUGGGAAAUGCGUACAUGGUUGGAUUGUAAAGGCACAUGGAACUCUGGAUGCUUUCCUGGGAUCAGCAUUGAUAGAUAUGUAUUGCAAAUGUGGAAUUAUUGAAAGAUCUUAUAUUGUUUUUGAAAUGGUCUAUGAAAGAGAUGUUACAAUAUGGACAACUAUGAUCACAGGUCUUGCACUCCAUGGUCAUGGAAUCAAAGCUUUAGAAUUGUUCUGGAAAAUGCUGGAAGAAGGUGUAAUGCCAAAUGCUGUGACCUUAGUUGCUGUUCUUACUGCUUGUAGUCAUGCUGGUUUGGUGGACCAGGGGUAUAAAAUUUUUGAGAGUAUGAAACAAAGCUACAAUAUUGAGCCAGGAGUAGAGCACUAUGGGUGUCUGGUUGAUCUUCUUGCACGAUCAGGGAAGCUGACUGAGGCGAUCAAUGUGAUUAAGGGGAUGCCAAUGAAACCUACACGGUCUAUUUGGGGAGCUAUUUUAAGUGCUAGUAAGGUCCAUCAAAAUAUGGAAAUUGCAGAGGCUGUUUCUGGGAAGCUGUUAGAGGUGGAGCCCGAGGAAGAAGGUGGCUAUAUUUUGUUAUCUAACACAUAUGCUGCUUGUGGGAAGUGGAAAUAUUCUGACAAGAUCAGAAAGGCUAUGGAUAGCAGAGGGGUGAAAAAGAUAGCGGGAUACAGUAGAGUGAUUAUUGAUGGGGUUCUUAAUGAAUUUAUUUCUUCAGAUAAAAGACAUCCGAGGUGGGCUGAGAUUUAUUGCAUGUUAUGUGAUCUGAAUAGAGUAUUAAUGGCAGGUGCAGAAGUUUCAUUUCAGUGUCUGCAACAGAUGCAAGGCCUAGACAUGGAAUGAGUUCUGUUGGUUUCUUUUACAAGGAAACUGAUAGCAAAAUAAUGCAAUUGCUAUCAGCUAUCAACAAAGAUAUGCACUUUCAUCCCAAACUUGAUCUUUUUUCGUUGCUGGUCCUUGUGAUACAAACUACUGGUGUGAAUGGUUGACUGAGAUCUGUCAUCAUAGACUACUUUACCAGUGGAGGAACAUGCAGGACUGCAGCACGCUAGCUGAUAAAAAGUGAUCAGGCACAGGAAAACUAUACUUUUGUUGAAGAACCUGUUAGAAGAUAAAGAUUUCCCCUGAUAGGGACACUUAUUCAAAGGAUUACUCAUUGUUGCUUACGCCAUCAUGGCUUCAGGUUCACUGCACUUCUCUGGAGAAGGCAGAAAUGAUCCUUGUUAUUUGGUCUCAAUGCUGAAGUCAUCAAUCAGCCUAGGCAUUGUAUUGUUGUUGACUUGGGAAGCAUUAGAAGUACUACAAGAAGGACAUGCUCCCAAUUAAGUCAUUGGUCAGUUAAAUUACCUUGGGCACGAUUUAGGUCUGCUGCAGUUGGAAACUCAGCUAUCACUAGAGAUCUGCCUGUGAUACAAGUUGAACUUUGAGAUUCGUGGUUGACAUACAACUAGUUAUUUUUCUUAUAAAUUCAGCCAAUAUUUUAACCAAGUUCCCCCGCAAAAUGUAUCAAUAAAAAUGAAUGCCUCAUCCAUGCAUCCGUCAUUAGAGAAACCUCUCUUACCAUACUAAAAUAAAUCGAACACUUGCCGCAUCAAAGAAUAAUAGAAUUAUUUUUCAUUUUUUUUCUCUGAUAACAUACCAUUAUGUAUAAAUAAAUUUUCUAUGUAAUAUGUGGGAGAAUCCUUAUUCAUAUAGAGAAUAAAAUAUUUACAACAUCGUAACAGAAACAUAAGUUAUUAAUGUAUUUAGUAUUGAAGUGAAGUGAAGUAAAACAAUGACUUGGGAGCAGCAUUCUAAAUUAUUUAAGAAAAUUUUCAGUAAUUCCAAGUUCAUUGGUACUGUAUAGCUCGGAAUGGGACUGGGGGCAUAUGACACAGCCAUCACCAAGGACAGACCAUAUAUGCAGCUGAUUCCAGUCCAUCAAUCUGAUAGACUCAGUGAGAUUGGUGACAUCAACAUCAGAUUUUUCAUUCCCAAAACAUUAGCCCACACAAUCAAUGCAUACAGAUUUAAACCACAGUUUGAUAUGAGAUCGAUUGACUCCAUAUUGGAUACACUCUCCUAUUGGUGCAAUCACAUGCAUGUUGGAGGAUAAUUUUUUUAAACUCCAUUUACCAAGAAUAUGAGCAGAUUGGAAGAAGGGAGAGAGAGAGGCUUCCAAGAUCCUCUCCUGCUGCAACUUCCCUGCCACAUCCAGUGAUUCUUUCUCAGCAAGACAUUUCAACAUAAAGAAGUUCACCUCCUCUGUACAUAGCAGUCUCUGAUGACAUUGUUGCUUAUUCUAUGUCAGUCCUUAAAAAUGUUCCAUUUUAUUGUCAAUCAAAAGGAAUCAGUUUCAUGUUCAUUGGACACUAGGAUAUGGGAUUGAUUCCCAAGGAGCAGCCAGUCCUGGGUCACUCCAUCAAAAAAAAUAAAUAAAGAAAACUAGUAUUGCAAGAGUUAUAUGACCCACAUGAUUCAGUUGAAAUCAUUAUUGAAUACAUAGGAAACUACAAGGAUGCCUUCCUCUUACAUUUUCUUUGAUAAUAUAAAUUCAUGCUCAUAAAAAAUUCAGACAUUUUCUUUUGACAAAACAGAAAAAAGAAAGAGAGAAAGAGAGAGAUUGAACCAAAGCAAAACCAAAAAGAAGAGAGCAAAAUUCCUUAAUUUCCUUUAUACAGUUGAUUAAUAGAAAUGGUGCCUAUGAUUUGGAGUAGUGGUUUAUUACAAAACAUAGAGCAAAACUUUCUUUUUUUCUUUUUCUUCUUUUUGCAGACUUGGUUUUGGGGGUGAGACGAAUUGCUUAAGAGCUCCAGCCUUCCAUCUGAUAAAUUUCCAAGAACCUGGAGAACCAAA